rnacentral:lncRNA from 1 species
GAACACAAUUUGGACCUCUUCAGAGGGUGGCCAGGGCGUAUGUUUUGACUAUUAUUUGGACAAUUAUUUUCACAGUGAAGAAGUCUUGAAUGUGAAUGUGACUGACAAGCUCUAAGUAUCUGAGGUUGGUGAGCGGACGAGCCCGAGUUACUAAAAGCCCAAAGGAUUUGCGACAUACAUUCCUUUCUCUCUCAAGUCACUCAAAGAAAAUGAGAAUUGACAGGCUUUGUGGGCUGUAGAACCUUCAAGGACAGCGAAGGCGAAAAACUCGUAUUUGUUUCUUCAACACUGAGUAGUUUCCGGGUGUCCACUGAGAAAUCCCUGUUCUGAAGCCAAAUAAAUCUUAUCAGAGGAAGAAAAUAUAAGAGCUGUUUAUAAAGCAAAAAAGAAAAGGGCCCGUGACUCUACAUGGGCAGCCACUGCUAACUGUUUAUGUUGGGUUCUAGCCGAUGUCCCCAGUGUAAAUUAACAGUGUUUAUUGUCAAAGUCAAUUGCUUAAUGACAGUCAGAGAUGUCCCUUUAUCAUAAGAGUUUGCCAAAUCUAAACAAUACAAUACAAAAACAAUACAACAAAACUGGCUGUGGAGUGCUGUAAACGGGGCCACCAACACUGAACUUACCCAGCUGUGGCUCUUCACUGUCACCAUGUGCUCCACACUUGCGUGGCCUCCCAAGCUCAUCUCCCCAAAUCAGAGGUCAGAGGCUAGAAAAACAAGGAACUCAGAAUCCUAGUCCCUGCUAACUCUUGCCUGUUUACUAAGAAUUUGCUCUGUCGCCCCGUUUUUUUUUUUUCUUCUGACCACCAAGUCUCCACACUUGCCUUGUAGCAGCUGCUGAGACAUUUCUCUUCCUUCCACCUUCUCAUAAACUCUUUUCUAUGACCUGAGACAACUCAUCCCCCAAUCGUUUUCCUCCUCUGAUGUACAUUACGGUUGUCCGUCCUUCCCCUUAUGGAGGGGCAGUUGGGGAACAGGUAGCUGGGAGUCUGUGUACAACCCCCCACAUGGUUCUCAUCCCAUCUCACCCAAUGCUCUCCACCCCUUCAGAUGACAGGGUCAGCACACCUUCUGGAGUGUGAGUCUGUCUUCAUUGCUCCCUAGCCAGUGAGGAUGCCUCCCACUAGGUAAUGCCUCCAGGAACCAGUCCCUCAGUAUGCUAGGCCCACUCACAGUGGGUGUGAGUGCCUGGACCCAGCCUUGAGAAACUGGAGCAUAACUAAUAAGAAAUGUGAUGUGUUCCCCCUUCUCACCCUUUGAUCCCCAGUUCUCCCUGGGGAGGGGGAGAGUUGAGUGUCUUCUCUGUGGGCAGAAGCUUGUAUUUUCUGAGACAGCAGAGAUGAAGGCACAAGGCCACAUACUCUGUAAGAUGUGCCUGGGAUGGGCAUCAGUGCAGGGGCCAGAGGUACAGAUGGAUCGAUGCUUCAGAAUUGCUCUCAAGGUUAGAUAAAAAUGAGGCAAGAUCAUACAGUCCACACUGGAGUCUGGGUGGGCAGCGGAGAGAAGCCAACAUGGACCCUGAUGGGGCCACCGAGCUGAAGGCCCCCUUCUGAACUAUAUCAGCUGAACCAAUGUGGCUUUGCAGCCCCGCCGUGGGUAUGCCAUGGACCAUCGGCAGAGAAAGAUUCUCGUGGGAUUGCUUUCCACU